rnacentral:lncRNA from 1 species
UCGAAUGUAAUACUAAUAGUUGUAUAGUCCCGUAAAGCCUUUCUCUAACUCAGUUAUAGAUUGACCGUAAUCAACUACUGGUCUUGGUAAAGCUUGUUGACGAUCUUGAAGUUCCAUGCCAUCGUCUCUACCACAUCCAAUGACUGAAUCUAUGAAAAGUUCAUAUUGACUAUCUAACUUUGGAAGUCCUUGAUUUCUACGCUCAACAUUUAUCCAAUAUCUAAAAAGCACCGAUAUCUCCAAACUGUCUUCUGCUAACGAAUAUAUGUGGUCUCCAAUUUGAAAUCUUGCCGCGCUGAAAGCUGCCUC